GAUGAACGCUAGCGACAGGCUUAACACAUGCAAGUCGAGGGGCAGCGGGGGCGAAGCUUGCUUCGCCUGCCGGCGACCGGCGCACGGGUGAGUAACACGUAUGCAACCUACCCCCUGCAGGGGAAUAACCCGGAGAAAUCCGGACUAAUACCACACGGCACUUUCGGGAGGCAUCUUCUGAGGGUUAAAGGAGCGAUCCGGCCGGGGAUGGGCAUGCGGCGCAUUAGCUAGUCGGCGGGGUAACGGCCCACCGAGGCGACGAUGCGUAGGGGUUCUGAGAGGAAGGCCCCCCACACUGGUACUGAGACACGGACCAG
rnacentral:rRNA from 1 species